rnacentral:rRNA from 1 species
UACGGGGGGGGCAAGCGUUGUUCGGAAUUACUGGGCGUAAAGGGUGCGUAGGCGGUGCUCUAAGUCGGAUGUGAAAACUCUGGGCUCAACCCAGAGCCUGCAUCCGAAACUGGAGUGCUAGAGUUCUGGAGGGGGUAGCGGAAUUCCUGGUGUAGCGGCGAAAUGCGUAGAUAUCAGGAGGAACACCGGUGGCGAAGGCGGCUACCUGGACAGAAACUGACGCUGAGGCACGAAAGCUAGGGGAGCAAACAGG